AUUGAACGCUGGCGGCAGGCCUAACACAUGCAAGUCGAACGAGUGGCGGACGGGUGAGUAAUGUCUGGGAAACUGCCUGAUGGAGGGGGAUAACUACUGGAAACGGUAGCUAAUACCGCAUACAAUCGGAUGGGCCCAGAGGGGAUUCGCUAGUAUGUGGGGUAACGGAUCACCAGGGCGACGUUCCCGAGUUGGUCUGAGCGGAUGACCAGCCACACUGGAACUGAGACACGGUCCAGACUCGUACGGGAGGCAGCAGUGGGUAAUAUUGCACAAUGGGCGCAAGCCUGAUGCAGCCAUGCCGCGUGUAUGAAGAAGGCCGUCGGGUUGUAAAGUACUUUCAGCGGGGAGGCGUUACCCGCAGAAGAAGCACCGGCUAACUCCGUGCCAGCAGCCGCGGUAAUUC
rnacentral:rRNA from 1 species